UAUAUAUUUAUGCAAUUGCUUACUUGUUACAAGUGUGCAUUGUAGUUGCAUUGCAUGAAAUAUAACUAUGCAAUACUUCUACAGUGCAACUUCUGUGGCAGGUCUCAGCGUCAUAUGUGAUAGAUAAAUAUAUAUAUAUAUAGGGUAGACCAAAUAAAAUGUUAUAGACUGUUUUCUCUAUUGUAGAUAUUUUCUUUCUUUCCUAAAUUAAACAGGAUAGAGGGGUAAUCAUUUGAAGUGCAAUAAAUUUUUUUAAGACUACUAAGAAAAGUUUAAAGGCAGCCUCCUUCAUUUAUCUUAAAUGGAAUGAGGUAUUCAUUUUCUUUAUUUAGGUAACUCUUAUCAAACAGAGUAACAUUUACUUGAAACACUUCUUUUUAUUCUGCACAAUUAAAGAGAUUUAAUAAAUAAUUCAAUGCAGUUCUAGGUACAUUUAGAGCUUUUGAUAAACAUAUUUUUUUACCUAUUUGUUUGAUAAUAGAAAGGUAAUUUCUUGAAAUAUUUUAUGAACAAUACUUAAUAGGUGUUUAGAAAUCUAAAGACAUCAUUUUAAACAUUUAUUAAAAUAAUUCUCACUUUAGAAUACAUUUAUGUACAUAUUUUUCCUCUCCUUUCUUCUUUUUUUACCUUCUGAAGUUUCUCUUAAGAAAAGUAUGUAUUUUUCGCCAUAGCUCUUUAACUGUGCAAAGUAAAAAAAUAUUCAAGUUAAAUAUUAUUCCAUUUAAUAAGAGCUAUUCGAACAAAGAAAUGUUAAUAUCUCACUCCAUUUGAAAAGGGGUCCUCUUUACCUAUGUAUAAUAGUUUUCCUAAAAAAUUUUUUACAUACCAGAUGAUUUAACAACUCCUUUG